UUAAAUUUGGUUUAAUUAUGAUCUUUGUAAGAACUUGUUUUUUGUUAUUAAUUAUGAAGUAAAAAAGUUAGUGUUAAUUUAAUUUUUAAUUUAUUUAUUUAUACAUUUAAGAUAUAUAGAUGUUGAUAAUUUUAUAUUCAUAUGCAAGGAGAAAUUUUAGUUUAAGUUGGGGGAGUGGAAAUAAGAUUUUUGAGUGUUACAUAUAGCAAAAAGCAGCUUGGUCUUUUCUAUUUGCAAAUUAAAAUUUGAUCUUUUACUAUUUCAACAAAACAACCAAUUGCUUCAUUUUCUUUCAAGUCUUCAUUUUUUCUCUCAAGACAACCAAAUUUUAUUCUUCAUUUAAAGGCUAGCUAAAAGAAGUUGCAUAACAUUAAUAUUAAGUGUUG
rnacentral:lncRNA from 1 species